GUUCGGAUCGUAAAAACGACUGUGCGGGUUUUGCGCAGGAAAAAGCAGCAGGUGCCACCACCGGUCGUGCUCUGUCGCAGUCGUUCUUAUCUCGUCUACUCGUUCACGUUCGUGCCGGCUAUUUGAGGUCCGACGCCUUUGUCCUCUAAAUAUUUCCGCGCGCAUCGUCCUCCAACCUCGCGUACACUGGCUACCCUUGUCAGUAUAAAAAGCUCGCAUCAUUUUCAAAUGCCGCAUCCGACCGUCAUUUUUCCGGUCUUCCUCG